GAGGUCUCAAGUCGUGUGGAACAUGCCGAAUGAGCCCAUGCCCCGGCAACAAUCCACUGGACACCACCACCACCACCACCACCCCCAAACAGCUCCUCUGGUCUAUCCUUCUUCCCAUCUGUCCCUCCCUCCCCAACUCUUUCUAACUCCCUAUCCCAGAGGGUAAAGUUGUUAUAUUGAAGAGUUUUUUCACUAUAUGUUGGGUUGGUCCUCAAUCUUGAUUUAAUUCACACAGCUAAAGGUGAUAGAUUAAAAACUACCACAAAAUGUCAUUUUUGAAGAUGUACUUGAUGCAGUGGUGUUGCUGAUUGUAUCACUUGGCCUAAGGUGUUGUGAUUGAUCUAGUCAAUGAACCUUCCUAGUAUAAGGAAAAUGAGAUAGCCUUAGAGUCAUUAGAGACUCAAAACUUAAAGACCAGCUAUAUCUGGAAGACACCUCUGAGAAGCAAUCAGUCCAUAAGGGUUCUAAUUAUGAGCAACAAAGAUACCUACAAUAAGCAAUUUCAAACUAUCAACCCAGGAGUUAAACCAAGGACAGUGCCAAAAACAAAAAUGAGAAGACAUUUAAGCAAGGCACAAACUCAGACUUCCACCCCACCAAGGAUAAAUCCUGGGGGAAAUGAGAUGGAAAUGUCCCAUAACCAACCACCUGGACACCCUGAACUAAUAGCACAGGAAGUAACAAAACAGAUGAAUGAGGCUCUAGAAAAAUUCCAAGCAGAAAUAAUCUCCCAGAUAUCUACAGAGAUGGUGAGCAGAGUGAAAGACAUGAUUAGAGGAUCUAGAACAGAAACAGAUAAAAAAAUAGAUGAGCUCAGAAACAUGCUGGAAGCCAUGAAUGCCCAGCAUAAGAAAGAAAUGGAAACUAUGAUCGCCCAACAUAAGAAAGAAAUGGAAUCCAUGAAACAGAUUCAAACAGAUAUUCAGGAGAUCAAAAACUCCAUUGAAAGUAUCCACAGCAGAUUAAGGGAAUCUGAAGAUAGAAUAUCAGAUAUAGAAGACAGGAUUGUGGUUAGAGACCAUGAAAAUAGAGAUUUCUUAAAAAUAGUAAGGGACCACGAGAAAUCAAUCCAACAACUGCUAGACGAUGCAAAGAAGAAUAACAUAAGACUGAUAGGAGGAGUCCAUGAAAAAACAGGAGAAAGCACAAUUGACAUUAAAAAAAACCUGUUCACAGAGUAAUAGUGGAAAACUUCCCAGACAGAGGUAGAGAAUUGGACAUACAGAUAAGUGAAGCAUAUAGAACUCCAACUAGCCAUGAUCAAAAAAAAUCUACAUCUAGACAUAUAAUAGUCAAGAUCCCAGAAACCCAACAGAAAAACAAAAUCCUACAGGCAGAGAAAAGAAACGAAUCACCUAUAAAGGAAAGCCCAUCAGAAUCACGGCAGACUUCUCAACACAAACCCUCUAAUCAAAGAGAGCCUGGAGUGAAGUAUUUCAAGCCCUAAAAGAAAAUAACUUCCAACCUAGACUGUUGUAUCCUGCAAAAUUAUCUUUCAAAAUCGAUGGGGAAAUUAGAUACUUCCAUGCCAAAGAACACCUGAGAAAUUUCAUGAACACCAAACCGACACUACAAGCAAUUCUAAACAAUAUCCUAGAAACAAGUAAUGAAGGCCACAACUCCAUGAGGCCCAACAGAGGGAAGCCACCAGGCAAGAUAAGACACUAAAGGGAAAGGGGGGAAAAAAUAAGAAAUAAAAGAGCCAACAAAAAUGAAAUUCCAGGGAGUUUUUCUGGGGAUAAUGGAAAUGAGGUUUGGGGGUUUUAUAAGAAAGAAUUAAUGAAAAUGAAGUUUCCUGCUCUGCCCCACAUCUUGAUUUGUGGACAGAGAAAGUUUGGAAGUACUCCAGGCAUUUUGCAACCAUAACAGAAGGCAGUCCUGGGACUGGAAUCCCUGGAAGGGCACAGCUAAGGAAUCACAGCAAAAUAAAGCCAACACCACUAUAUUGGGAGAAGGAAAGUUUUCCUACCUCUUCAUAUCCAGCUACGUCCAACAAAUACAUGUCUAUCUGAUUGGAGACCUUGAGCGUUUUUGGAUGGAUGAGUACCUAAACAUCAACUUGAAACUCCAAGAAGACCAUAUGGGAAUAAUGCCUAAAUUGUUUAUUCAAUGCUUUAAACACAGUUAUUUUUGUCAUCUUUAAUGUAUCUACUUUGUUUAAUAGCAGCAUUUAGUCAUUGUUCUUCACUGGCUAAGGCAUAUAAUGUGCUGUCUCGUGUAACCAAGUGUCAUUAGAAGCAAAAUCUUCAAUAUCUAAUUUACUAAAUCUAAUUUUGCAGUUUUCAAUCUGAAAUGCAAAUUUAUAAAUUUAUAAACAUUUCACUUGGUGAAAUUUCAUAGAAAGGUUUUAAAAUCAAAUCUUUUUUUUUCCUUUGCUAAGUAGGAUGAAACUGAUUGUUCUGUGUCUUGUGGAGUUUGAGCUCCUAAACAAAAAUUCAGUGAGAGGAUUCUAGAACUCUUUGGUAUAUAAGAAAGGUACUUGCUUCAUGGGAAAUUUUCCUCAGACUCAGCCCUUGUGGAUUAUCCUUUAAAAUGCUUUCAUCACUUUUGCCUUGCUGCCUUCGAUUGCAAUGAGCCUAACCCUUGAAUGUUGCUGAAUUUAUAGCUCUGUAAAACAAACUCUUCUGGCAUUUCCUACACACAAUUGGGUUUCUUAGCUGCUCAAAAGAUUUGAGCUACAGUAGUUUGUUUCAUUAUUAAAGACAUAUGAUGCCUGUUGAACAGAUUUCCCCUUGGGCAACAGAGCUGAUAAAAGAAUAAAGAAUUUCAAGAAUCUGUAUCUCAAAAAUAAAUCCCAAGGUAUCUUUUACUUUUUUUUGACUUGGGGGGAAGCUUACAAAAUAAUUUCCAUUUUUAUUUAGCUUUGUACUUAUUAUGGAGCUGUGGGAGAACACAGCAUUUACCAGAUGAAAUUGUGCCAUUUGAAAUAAACAUGUGUUAUUUUAACUUUUGGCCUACAUUUGAUGACAAUAAUGAGACCUUCCUAAAAAUGAGAACCUGAAGUCAGCCCUAAUCGGAACCAUGAUUGCAGUUAGUAUAAUUCCAAAGGAAGCGAAUGUGGCUACUCUUCAAUGUUUCAUACUCCUUCCUUGAACAUAGUCUUUACAUUAGGUAAUAUUUUGUGUGUGUGUGGUCACUUGUUUUAAUGGUCACAUCUUACAUUCACCAUAAUGCUUUAAUGUCAGUCCUGUGGUUCUGUGAUCUUAGUGUCAUAGUAUUAAAUCUAUCAGACUGCUCAGCCCUUUGCAAGCAACUGAGAGACAAAGACUGCAAACUACAAUGAAGUACUGCAUAUUUGUUUGCCCAAGGAAAAAGCCAAUCCUAAUUUAGAUGUGCUUCUAUUUACUAGGCUACUUGGCUUUCCAUGGGCACAUUAAAUGACCAAGAGACUCCAUUUGUUAUUGAAAAGGACAGGAGCUGAAAUGAAAAGGGUUAAUUUGCAAAGGUAGGACAUCUGUUAGAAAUCAGCCCAGAAGCAGGAGCUGGCUGUAUUCCAAGAGUGGUUUUUCAUCUGCCAUGGAGUUGGCCAUUGACAGUUAAACUUGGAUCUAAACUUCACAAGGCAGAAAAACACAUUCUUGAAUUUAACAUUUAGUUCUUUUAGCUAUCCAAGCUGAAGGUGCUAGAGCUAUACAAAAAAAAUGCAGUAGCUAUACAGAGAAGUUGCUGUAGCUAUAGCUUUACAGACAAAUUGUGAAGCAAUACAGAAUUUCACUUGAGAUGAAGUCCCCAAACUUUCCUAAAUCUGUUUGUAUCCCAGCCAUUAGCCUAGGCUUCCAUUAAGGGCCUUACAUAAAUGUAUGUUCAGUAGAUAGUUGUUAAAUGUAAAAACUCGAAAUUAUUUUCUUUAUUAAUUUUAUUGGUACAUUUUAGGUAUACAAUAUAAUGACAUUCAUCAUUGGAAAUUUGCAUAUUUACAUAAGCUCUCUUGGUUCUUAUUUUUUCCUCAUUCUUCUGCCCUCCCUUCAACCCCUCCAUCCCUGCCUAUUUACAAAGACUUUGUUUCCAUUUUUGCAUUUUCUCAUAUUAAUUCCUUUGCCCUCCCCCUCCCACUUCCCUUUCCCCUUUGCCCCUUUUCUUCCUAUUUCACAUUAUCUAUUAUACCUUUUAGUCUUUAUUUACACUUUCAGUUUCUCACUCUCGAGAAACUAUUCGGUAUUUACACAUGUGUGUCCUAUUUAUUUCACUUACAAGUAUCACUUCAAUGUGCAUCCAUUUAGCUAUAAAUGUCUCUGAUUUCUCAUUUUUAUGGCUGAGUAGUACUCCAUUUUAUUAAAAAAAAAAAACACAUUUCCUUUGUCCAGUCUCCAGUUGAUGGGCACUUGGGUUGCUUCCAAGCUUUAGCUAUUACAAACUCUGCUGUGAUAAACAUAGGUGCACAUAUAUCACUUUGGUAUGAUUCUUUUAAUUUUGGGGGGAAGAUGCCCAGCAGGGGGAUAGCUGGGUCAAAUGGGACCUCCAGUCCUGGUUCUCCAUACUUGAGGUAUCUCCAUACUGAUUUCCACAGUGAUUACACCAGUCUACACUCCCACCAGCAGUGGAGAAAUUUCUGUACAAUUCUGUCAUGUAAAUGGCUAUGAAAAAGUAUAUUUCUUUAACUUAAUUUUGUCCACAAGUUUUCCUUUGGAUUGUUUCAGUUUUACAAAUCUCUGUUUGGGAAACUACUAAAAUAAUAAAAUCA
rnacentral:lncRNA from 1 species